rnacentral:rRNA from 1 species
AUACGGAGGGUGCAAGCGUUACUCGGAAUCACUGGGCGUAAAGCGCGCGCAGGCGGCCAUUUAAGUUGGAUGUGAAAGCCUACGGCUCAACCGUAGAACUGCAUCCAAAACUAUUUGGCUAGAGAGUGGGAGAGGAAGAUGGAAUUAGUUGUGUAGGGGUAAAAUCCGUAGAGAUAACUAGGAAUACCAAAAGCGAAGGCAAUCUUCUGGAACACUACUGACGCUGAGGCGCGAAAGCGUGGGGAGCAAACGGGAUUAGAAACCCUAGUAGUCC